ACACAUGCAAAACUAACAGUAAACAGGCUUGUUAUUCAUCAUUAAUGCAGACAACAGAUUAGCAUGAAUGUAUUUUAGUCAAACUACAGCUGAUACGUACGUAGCUUCUCACAGAGCAGGGGGAAUAAUAUUGACCUCACUGACGUGCAGGGCGCGGGUGUCCACACACCAACGUGUCAAACAGUGCAACUCAGAAUUUCAAAUGGGACAAGCACUGAAAUCUAAAAGCAACAGAGCAUCUUUUGGGACAACAGCACAAAAAUCAGAUGAACACCAAAAAAAAAAAAAAAAAAACCCAACAAUUUAAGUAAUUCAUAAAAGGAUCUGUUCACUUUUUAAACAAUUGUAAUCAUAUUGAAGCAAUACUAUUGAUUAAGACUGUAAAUUAAACCAAUGUUUUUACAGAACUUAAAAUAGAUGUACUUAAUUUUUGUAGUUUGUGAUUAUUUACCUUUUAUUUCUGUUUCUAGCAAUGUUAUUAAAUAGAGGUCUAUUUACUGUGUGCUACAUGUCUUCCAAGUGGACUGCAAAAAAAAAAAAAAAAAGAUUUGAUACAGCUGAGCAUCACAGAGUACUUUAUGUAGUUGUCACUUGUUUAUCAUGUUGGAGUGUUUAUUUAUUGUGCGGGGUUACUUGUUUAUUAUGUAGGAGUGUUUAUUUAUUGUGUAAGAGUGUUUAUUUAUUGUGUAAAGUUACUUGUUUAUCAUGUAGGACAGGGGUAUUCAACUCUUUCCAGAAAGGGCCGAGAGGGUGCAGGUUUUCUUUGCAACCACCCACUCCACCAGGUGAUUUCACUGAUUAACAUCACUUUGAGCCAGUUAAUCAGUGAAAUCACCUGGUGGAGUGGGUGGUUGCAAAGAAAACCUGCACCCUCUCAGCCCUUUCUGGAAUGAGUUGAAUACCCCUGAUGUAGGAAUGUUUAUUUAUUGUGUAGGUGUAGGGUCAUUUAUUUAUCAUGCUGGAUUGUUUAUUGUGUAGGAGUUACUCAUUUAUCAUGUAGAAUUUAUUUAUUUAUUGUGUAGGAGUGUUUAUUUAUUGUGUAAGGUUACUUAUUUAUCAUGGAGUGUUUAUUGUGUAGGAGUUACAUGUUUAUCAUGUUGGAGUGUUUAUUGUGUAGGGGUUAGCUGUUAUCAUGUGAACAUUAUUUAUUUAUUGUGUAGGAGUGUUUUUUUUAUUGUGUAGGGUUACAUGUUUACCGUGUAGGAGGCAUUUUCUAAUUUUGUUCUAGCGAUAGGGCUUACAAUCGAUAAAUGUCAGAUUCUGCUGCCUUCUACUGGCAGUCCUGUGAGACUGCGUUGCAAAUACCAUUCUAAAUUAGAAUGACAAGUUUGAAUUAAAUACUUCUGAAUCAAUUUGUUCACCAACUUAUCUGUAUAAUGUGACAUGAACAUUAGUUGGCUGAAGUGAUACACAAGUUGUCUUCUCAGCUCUAGUUUUAAAUUUGCAGUAAAUUAUGUUGAGUAUUGUAACACUAUUAUAUGGUGGCCCACGUACCAAGAUACGUGGUGAUAUCGUGAGUUCCUUGCCAAUAGCCGUGCCGAACAUUAAGCAGACACACCAACUGCGGGGUUGAUAUAAGCCAAUACAUUACAAAGAUUAGCGAAGACUUUUUUUCAGGAGUUUGCACCACUAACGUAAACACUUGAAGUCAAUCACUGGCGUGUCUAACUCCAGAGACGGCUGCUCUCAGAA